CCUACGGGCGGCAGCAGUGGGGAAUAUUGGACAAUAGGGGGAACCCUGAUCCAGCCAUGCCGCGUGUGUGAAGAAGGCCCUCGGGUUGUAAAGCACUUUCAGUGAGGAAGAACGCCUGGUGGUUAAUACCCAUCAGGAAAGACAUCACUCACAGAAGAAGCACCGGCUAACUCCGUGCCAGCAGCCGCGGUAAUACGGAGGGUGCGAGCGUUAAUCGGAAUUACUGGGCGUAAAGCGCGCGUAGGUGGCUUGAUAAGCCGGUUGUGAAAGCCCCGGGCUCAACCUGGGAACGGCAUCCGGAACUGUCAAGCUAGAGUGCAGGAGAGGAAGGUAGAAUUCCCGGUGUAGCGGUGAAAUGCGUAGAGAUCGGGAGGAAUACCAGUGGCGAAGGCGGCCUUCUGGACUGACACUGACACUGAGGUGCGAAAGCGUGGGUAGCAAACAGGAUUAGAUACCCUGGUAGUC
rnacentral:rRNA from 1 species